GAUGAACGCUGGCGGCGUGCCUAAUACAUGCAAGUCGAGCGAACAGACGAGGAGCUUGCUCCUCUGACGUUAGCGGCGGACGGGUGAGUAACACGUGGAUAACCUACCUAUAAGACUGGGAUAACUUCGGGAAACCGGAGCUAAUACCGGAUAAUAUAUUGAACCGCAUGGUUCAAUAGUGAAAGACGGUUUUGCUGUCACUUAUAGAUGGAUCCGCGCCGCAUUAGCUAGUUGGUAAGGUAACGGCUUACCAAGGCAACGAUGCGUAGCCGACCUGAGAGGGUGAUCGGCCGCACUGGAACUGAGACACGGUCCAGACUCCUACGGGAGGCAGCAGUAGGGAAUCUUCCGCAAUGGGCGAAAGCCUGACGGAGCAACGCCGCGUGAGUGAUGAAGGUCUUCGGAUCGUAAAACUCUGUUAUUAGGGAAGAACAAAUGUGUAAGUAACUAUGUACGUCUUGACGGUACCUAAUCAGAAAGCCACGGCUAACUACGUG
rnacentral:rRNA from 1 species